rnacentral:rRNA from 1 species
UGAGGAAUAUUGGACAAUGGGCGCAAGCCUGAUCCAGCCAUGCCGCGUGCAGGAAGACGGCCCUAUGGGUUGUAAACUGCUUUUAUACAGGAAGAAACACCCCCACGUGUGGGGGCUUGACGGUACUGUAGGAAUAAGGAUCGGCUAACUCCGUGCCAGCAGCCGCGGUAAUCCGGAGGAUCCAAGCGUUAUCCGGAAUCAUUGGGUUUAAAGGGUCCGUAGGUGGACGAUUAAGUCAGAGGUGAAAUCAUGCAGCUCAACUGUAGAAUUGCCUUUGAUACUGGUUGUCUUGAAUCAUUGUGAAGUGGUUAGAAUAUGUGGUGUAGCGGUGAAAUGCAUAGAUAUCACAUAGAAUACCGAUUGCGAAGGCAGAUCACUAACAAUGCAUUGACACUGAUGGACGAAAGCGUGGGGAGCGAACG